UGGAGGGGAGAUUCCCCCCCCCGAAAAAUAAUGGGGGGGUCUGGAUUGGGGGGGACCCGCCAAUGGGAGCCCAAAAUGGCGGAGCUCAAAAUGGCGGAGCACAAAAUGGCGGAGCUCAAAAUGGCGGAGCCCAAAAUGGCGGAGCCCAAAAUGGCGGAGAACAAAAUGGAGCUGAAAUGGGGGGGAGAGGGGACCCCCACAUGGGAGCUGAAAUGGGAGCCCAUCUUGGAGGACCUCACUUGGAGGACCUCGUAGGGACUCUUGGAGGACCUCACUUGGAGGACCUCACAGAGACAUCUUGGAGGACCUCACUUGGAGGACCUCACAGAGACAUCUUGGAGGACCUCACUUGGAGGACCUCCCGGUGUCCCCUGAUCUUAGGGUGUCUUUGUGACGGGGGUUGGGGGGACACUUGGAGGGCUGGGUGGGGACCCCUUGGAGGACCUCGUAGAGAGUCUUGGAGGACCUCUCUUGGAGGACCUCACUUGGAGGACCUCAUAAGGGCACUUGGAGGACCUCACUUGGAGGACCUCACUUGGAGGACCUCGUAAGGGCACUUGGAGGACCUCGCUUGGAGGACCUCGCUUGGAGGACCUUGUAGGGGCACUUGGAGGACCUCGCUUGGAGGACCUCGCUUGGAGGACCUCGUAGGGGCACUUGGAGGACCUCACUUGGAGGACUUUCUGGGGACACCUUGGAGGACCUCCCGGUGUCCCCCGAUCUUGGGGUGUCAUUGGGACGGGGGUUGGGGGGGGGACGCUUGGAGGACCGGGUGGGGCCCCCUUGGAGGACCCGGUGUCCCCCACCCGGUGUCCCCUGGGUGCCACCAUUGUCCCCCCCCCCCCGUUGUCAUGGCAGCCGACCGCGAGGUGCAGCGCAUCCUGCUGGAGCUGCUCAACCAGAUGGACGGCUUCGACCAGAACGUCAACGUCAAGGUCAGCGGCAACGGCGUCCCCAAUGUCCCCAUGGGUGUCCCCAAUGUCCCCAUGGUGUCCCCAUGGUGUCCCCAUGGCGUCGCCAGUGUCCUAUGG
rnacentral:lncRNA from 1 species